ACAUCGUGGACGAACAUCCCGCAAUAAUCUGUGGAGAUUUUAAUGAGGAUCACCUCUGCGCUGGGAAUAAAACUGUUCUGGAACUGUUUCAGUCCAAAGGAUACACACAACUGAUCACCACAGCAACAACCAAAAAGAACACUCUAUUGGAUCACAUUUACGUCUCUCAUCCGGAUUUGUGCCUUCAGUCAGGUGUCUUGCAUACCUAUCAUAGCUAUCACAAUCCCGUGUACUGUGUUUUGCGUAAAUGAGUUUUUUUUUAGUGGACAGAUAUUGUUGUGUUUGGUGCUAGGUUAGUAUGCCAUACGGAACCGUUUGCCACUGAAACUGCUUAACGCACCAGUGGGGCUUCGACAGCCUUAUAAAACGAACGGUUGGGCGCGUAUGGUCGGGUUGUCGGGUAGUAUGCCAUACGGAACCGUUGCCAAUGGACCUGGAUACAUCACAUCAGCGGGGCUUUGAAAGCCUUCAUCAAACGGGUUGGCGCGUAUGGUCGUGUUGUGGUUAGAUUGUGGUGUUAGAGAUUGUGAUUAGGAGAUUGCGGUUAGGUCAUGCCAAGGGUUUAUACCACUGAGCUACGAAGAAGGAGCACCCUCAGCAGCAGCAGGAAGGACGGAGGAGGAGUGUGACAGCUCCAGGGAGGACAUAGACAGUCAGAGCGACAGUGGCAUUGCAGGAAGAAUUGGGAGACCAUAGCAGUCGUGUCUGGAUAUGAGUGUGCAAUAUACCUUCUAAAGCUAAGUGUUAAAAGAUUUUAUUUCAGUCUGUGUACCACUGCUUUUCAUAACUGCGUUUGAAUGGAAAUGUUAUAUUUGAACCUCUAAUUUUGAUUUUUAUGUUUUUUAGGAACCAGCCAAAUGAAGUGAGAUUGUCUGAGAAGAUCACGUGUGCUACAUCAAUGACGAUGACGAGCUGGAUACCAGAUUAUGUGCCAAUUUCUUUCCAGAAGAGGUCCAAAUAUCUACGGCAUUGAAGACAACUCCGAAGAAUGAAGAAGCAGAGGAAGAAGCACACUGAGGUCAAUACUACUGAUAAGGAUAUCCAGGGAGACAGAUGCGUGCCAUUCAGCAUAGAAACAUCAGAGACACAGUUCACCUGAGCGCAGAGGGAAACCAGCUUCUCCUGAGCAAACCUGACAAAUGUUCUGCGGGUGGAACUCCAAAGUUGAAACCAAAUGCCUUUUUAAAGGCAACAACGGCUCUUCUCAGAGCUACCCACUCAUUCAAAAACAAGAGCAUUUUUACAAGUUUAUCGAUCUUUCUGAUAAGGUCUAGUGUUCAGUGCAUCUUAUCAUACAAUGGUUUGUUUAAAAGCUUAGAUUGUUUAAAAGUGUAUGAUCUCAGAGGUGAGAGUUCAAAAAUUGUCUCUUGCGAGAUACAAACUUUACGCUCCAUACGUCUUGGAGAAUCAGAAAAUUCACUAUUAUUAUAAUAUUUGUUUUACCUCCUCUACCUCAGGAUAUCCAGCCUGUUUGCAGGGCCAGUUCCAGUGGCUAGAUGGCGGGAGAUGCUCCAUUACACCAUAUUGCAUAUCAACAUUGGAUGCACAAUUAAUUCAUUUUAAUAUAUUCAUUAAUGAUUUUACUAUCAUAUUAAAUAAUUGCUUACACACUCUAUAUAUAUAUUAAUAUAUCAUAUAUUUGCUUAAAUAAAGUUAUUAUGUGUACGCCGAGCCAGAGGAGAAUGGGCCCCCCCCUGACGAGUCUGGUUUCUCUCAAGGUUUUUUUUAAUCUCCCUUAAGGAGGUUUUUUUUCCUUGCCACUGUCGCCACUGGCUUGCUCAAUGGGGGUGUUGUGCCAGGUCCUAUCCCUUCCAGGUCCCUACCGACCAGGGUUUCCAAAACAAUGGUUUGCAAAUUGAUGGGUAUGUUAUUAUUAUUUAAAUGUAAAUGUUUACAUACAAAUGUAAAUUAAAUUAAUUUGAAAUCAAAAUUAAAUCAUGUUAUAGCUUAGCACUUAAAGCUGUGAGCCCUGUGAAGCCGUUGUAUAUAGUGAUAUCAGAACAGCUAACAGCGUUGUUCAAAUAUUCUGAGAUCAGUGUAAAUCAUGACUUCACUGGAGUUAUGAGAUCAUUCCUUUUUAUAAAUGCACGCAGCAAUACACCAAAUCAUCGACAGUAAAACAGUUUUUUAUUUAAAAGUUACUUUAGUGAGUAGAAAUUUUUACCAGUAUUCUGUUAAAAUUAAAGUUUAGGGUUAGAAAUGAGACAAGUGAAGAAUUUAAAACAAGAAUUUUGAAAAGUGAAGGAUUUACAACAUUAUGUAAAAUAAGUUAUCAGAUAAGCUUCUUUAUCAAAUAUUAAUUGUAUUAUUUGCCACAGAAUGCAUUUCUGUUUUUAUUUUUAUAAUCUUAAAGAUGAUGCUGUAAAACUAAUUUUAAUAUGAAGUAGAUCUAACAAUUAUAAUCUAAUAACAUCACAAUAGGAUCUAAUCAUUGGCUGGGUGGGAUUUGGCACAACAGGCGUUUUUAUAAAUCUUGAAUAAACAUUUUGUUGAAUU